GCGGGUUUAGCUGAGCGGCAGAGUGUAGAUUUAGCAUGCACAAGGCUCUGGGUUCAAUCCCCAGUACCUGCA
rnacentral:tRNA from 1 species